rnacentral:rRNA from 1 species
UACGUAGGCAGCAAGCGUUGUUCGGAAUUACUGGGCGUAAAGAGUGUGUAGGCGGUGCUCUAAGUUUGUUGUGAAAUCUCCCGGCUUAACCGGGAGGGUGCGGCGAAUACUGAGAUGCUGGAGUGCCGGAGAGGUAAGCGGAAUUCCUGGUGUAGCGGUGAAAUGCGUAGAUAUCGGAAGGAACACCAGUGGCGAAAGCGGCUUCCUGGUCCAGCACCGAUGUUCAGGCACGAAAGCGUGGGGAGCAAACAGG